UCCAAUGAACAAUUUACUGUUUUGACUGAAGCAGGUGUGAAUAACUGAAAGUUGUCUAUAAGAAAUUCUGGGGACCUCUUGCUCCUGUCAGGUUCUAGUGGUCUCACUUGAAGCAAUGUGUGGCGCUCUAUGGCCUACCCUGUGGUCACUCAAGAAGGUAGACAGAGAGGAAGAGAGAAGCGUAAUCGUAAUCGUGUGAACUCGGAGGCAGUCGAAUCUGUGGCUAGCUUCCUAACAGGUACAAAACAGGAGUGGUUUCUCAUUUCUCUGAAACGACAUCAGGCUUGUGUUCUGGAUAAAGUUGCCAAGUGGGCGGGCCUAGGUAUAAAAUAACGAGGCAGAGAUUUGAGGCCAACGUUAGAACCUACUGAGCACUCAGAACAGUGCUACUCCUUCAGACGACUCCAGAGAUGACGCCAGUGUCCAGGGUGGAAGUUCCUUGCAGCAACUGACUGGACGGUCAGUUUGCCACGGAGCGCUCUGUCACUACGCAAACCUGCUGCGCCCCAUCUCCAAUGCUGUUCUGUGGAGGAGCGGAGCAGGAAGAGAGUGGAAGGAAAGCAGCUUCCAGGUACUUAUCUGACAAACUAGAUGCUACCACCGGAAAUGUCCGGACAAAAUACCAAGGACAGUUAGCAUCUUUUUAGGGACCCAGCUGGGAUCUUUCGUGUGUUAUUCCCAGAAGUGUGGUAAAUUCAGGAGAAACUGCGGUACCAUGGUACAUGUUUGGGGCUUGAAAGGCAUCCUCUGCUUUGUGUUCCCGACCCCUCCCCUCUCCCGCCCCUUCACUGAUCCAUCGGUUUAAUCAACUGAUCUAUUUACACAACAUCAUUUGUACUACCUCAUUUUUUUUCUCAGAGUCUGGAAGUUUGGUAUGUGCUAGGCUGAAGGAACAAGCUUCGGAUGUAGACUUGGGCAUGGAGGCUCUAAUAAGUGUCCAUGGUAGACGCCACUCCCUGCCUGUUGUCACAUGAUUUCUGGAAGAAUUGUCUGCUGGGAAAAGGCUCUUGGAUGUCUGUCUGCCUUUCCCCCGCACUUCACCUGCUGUAUCUUUUUAGCCUGAACUGAUCUCACUUGUGCCUGUUUGCUUUUGUGGUUUUAGCAGGAAGUCACCACCAUGAGUGCAAUUAUGUGCUGAUUUCUGUGAAUUCUUCCAGCCAGGCAGUCAUCAGAUUCGGAGCUGCUCCUUUCUCACCGUCCUUUACACUUACAAUCAAGCAGCUGAUAAGUUCCCCUUUAACCCGGUUUUCAGGAGUUUAUUGAACAGGCUUCAGAACAAAGAAUACCAAGGUGAAUAGAGACAAAGGAACUACAGAGAUGUGGAUAACAACAUGUACUGCUCAUGCAGAGAACCUGAACUCCGUUCCCAGCACCCACGUCCCUCACGACCACCUCCACCUCCAUCUUCAAAGUCUCUGUAGAUACCCGUACUCAUGUGCACGUACACAGAUGGUCAAGAAUGAGCAUCUCGAUAAUUACCAAAAUUUCGUGCCUGACUGAUGAGUUUUUCAAGUGCUGUGCUGUGAUUUCCUUCACCUUGAACCAUGCCCGUGACAGAAGCUGCUCAGAUGUUUGUAAGUUGCGGGAAGUUCAUGGGGUUGUGAGUCUCGUCAGGCCCUUCCCAUGGCUGUCUGAGCAGUGAGCGACUGCAGGGCUGUGAUGAACAAGAAGCCAGCACCACUGAGGCAAAGACCUUUGUUUUAUUGGGACUAUGGACGGUGGUUAUCUAGAGCUGAGAAAUUAGCAGUGAUUAAGAGACCAGCAUCACUGAGGUAAAAUCUUCUGAGAAGUCUUUCCUCAAGGUCAGCACACAGAAGUUGUGGCCCGGAGUAAGCCAAGUUUGUAGUUUGUUCUUGCAGCUGACCUUGGUAAUGUGUAAGAGUUUGGAAGGUGUUCUGAAGGAAUGAAGGGUGAGAGGCCAGGAGAGUCCACUGAAGAAGGUGUAGUUUCAGUUGAAGUAGAAGCGUCAGGGCUGAAGGAGUCAUGGAAGAAACCUGAGGCCUGGAACCAUGAGGCAGUGUCAGAGUGCCGGAAGAGACUCCAGGAAGCCACUAGUGAAGGUGCAGCCCAAUUGCCAUAGAAACCCUAGCAGUUUGGAGAACCCAACAAUAGAUCGUGAGUUGUGUGAAAAUAGAGAAAGUGAGGUAAGUCCAAGCAUGCACACAUCCAUUCUCUCUCUGCUUGGUGGAUAUGACUAGCUGCUCCAAGUUCCCUCUGCCAUGAUUCUCCCACAGCGAUGGACUAUAUAACCUGUCAGCUAAAAUAAACCUUCCCUCUCUCUAA
rnacentral:sRNA from 1 species